rnacentral:rRNA from 1 species
AGCAGCCGCGGUAAUUCCAGCUCCAAUAGCGUAUAUUAAAGUUGUUGCAGUUAAAAAGCUCGUAGUUGAAUUUCGGGAUUGGCGCAUCGGUCGUGCCUCACGGGGUAUGAACUGGUGCAGUCAAUUUCUCACCUUCUGGAGAACCGCGAUGUCCUUAAUUGGAUGCCGCGGGGAACCAGGACCUUUACUUUGAAAAAAUUAGAGUGUUUAAAGCAGGCAUUUUUGCUUGAAUACAUUAGCAUGGAAUAAUAAAAUAGGACGGCAUGGUUCUAUUUUGUUGGUUUCUAGGACCACCGUAAUGAUUAAUAGGGAUAGUUGGGGGCAUUAGUAUUCAAUUGUCAGAGGUGAAAUUCUUGGAUUUAUUGAAGACUAACUACUGCGAAAGCAUUUGCCAAGGAUGUUUUCAUUAAUCAAGAACGAAAGUUAGGGGAUCGAAGACGAUCAGAUACCGUCGUAGUCUUAACCAUAAACUAUGCCGACUAGGAAUCAGACGAUGUUAAUUUUUAAUGACUCGUUUG